rnacentral:rRNA from 1 species
UACAGAGGGUGCAAGCGUUAAUCGGAAUUACUGGGCGUAAAGCGUGCGUAGACGGUUAUUUAAGUCAGGUGUGAAAGCCCCGGGCUCAACCUGGGAAUUGCAUUUGAGACUGAAUAGCUAGGGUGCGGAAGAGGGAAGCGGAAUUUCCGGUGUAGCGGUGAAAUGCGUAGAUAUCGGAAGGAAUACCAGUGGCGAAAGCGGCUUCCUGGUCCAGCACCGACGUUCAGGCACGAAAGCGUUGGGAGCAAACAGG